rnacentral:misc_RNA from 1 species
GAUGAAGACGUAGCGAAAUGCGAUAAGUAAUGUGAAUUGCAGAAUUCAGUGAAUCAUCGAAUCUUUGAACGCACAUUGCGCCCGCCAGUAUUCUGGCGGGCAUGCCUGUUCGAGCGUCAUUACAACCCUCAGGCCCCCGGGCCUGGCGUUGGGGAUCGGCAGAAGCCCCCUGUGGGCACACGCCGUCCCUCAAAUACAGUGGCGGUCCCGCCGCAGCUUCCAUUGCGUAGUAGCUAACACCUCGCAACUGGAGAGCGGCGCGGCCAUGCCGUAAAACACCCAACUUCUGAAUGUUGACCUCGAAUCAGGUAGGAAUACCCGCUGAACUUAAGCAUAUCAAUAAGCGGAGGA